GACGAACGCUGGCGGCGUGCUUAACACAUGCAAGUCGAACGGAAAGGCCCCUUAGGGGGCACUCGAGAAGCGAACGGGCGAGUAACACGGGAGUAAGCAGUCCAUCACUUCGGGAGAAGGUCAGGAAACUGGGGCAAAUACCGGAAAGGCAUCCUUGCUGCAAGGUGGGGGUUGGAAAGCUUCGGAGGUUUUGGCUGGACUCGCGGCUUAUCAGCUUGGUGGGGGGGUAGUGGCUUACCGAGGCUUUGACGGGUAGGCGGCCUGAGAGGGGGACCGGCCACAUUGGGCCUGCGAGACGGCGCAGACGCCUACCGUACGCAGCGGUGGGGAGUAUUGCACAAUGGGCGCGAGCCUGAUGCAGCAACGCCGCGUGCGUGAUGACGGCCUUCUGGUUGUGAACCGCUUUCAGCAGGGGCGAAGCUUGUGGUGACGGUACCUGCAGAAGAAGCACCGGCUAACUACGUG
rnacentral:rRNA from 1 species